GGAGUUAGCCGGUGCUUCUUCUGCGAGUAACGUCACAGAUGUAAGGUAUUAACUUACACCCUUUCCUCCUCGCUGAAAGUGCUUUACAACCCGAAGGCCUUCUUCACACACGCGGCAUGGCUGCAUCAGGGUUUCCCCCAUUGUGCAAUAUUCCCCACUGCUGCCUCCCGUAGGAGUCUGGGCCGUGUCUCAGUCCCAGUGUGGCUGAUCAUCCUCUCAGACCAGCUAGGGAUCGUCGCCUAGGUGAGCCUUUACCUCACCUACUAGCUAAUCCCACCUGGGCUUAUCCAUCAGCGCAAGGCCCGAAGGUCCCCUGCUUUCCCCCGUAGGGCGUAUGCGGUAUUAGCAGUCGUUUCCAACUGUUAUCCCCCACAAAUGGGCAAAUUCCCAGGCAUUACUCCACCCGUCCGCCGCUCGUCAUCUUACAAACGACAAGCUUUAGUAAAUAGUUACCGUCUCGUACUUCGCAUGUUGUUAGGUCCGUCGCCGCCGACGCGUUCUAUCUGAGCCAGAAUACAACUACUG
rnacentral:rRNA from 1 species